rnacentral:rRNA from 1 species
AUUGAACGCUGGCGGCAGGCCUAACACAUGCAAGUCGAGCGGAGCGGCGGACGGGUGAGUAAUGCCUAGGAAUCUGCCUGGUAGUGGGGGUUACCUUCAGGAAACGGGCGUUAUUCCCGAAUCUUUUCAGUUGAGCCUAGGUCGGAUGAGCUGGUUGGGGGGGUAAAGGCCUACCAAGGCGAGGAUCCGUAACUGGUCUGAGAGGAUGAUCAGUCACACUGGAACUGAGACACGGUCCAGACUCCUACGGGAGGCAGCAGUGGGGAAUAUUGGACAAUGGGCGAAAGCCUGAUCCAGCCAUGCCGCGUGUGUGAAGAAGGUCUUCGGAUUGUAAAGCACUUUAAGUUGGGAGGCGUUACCAACAGAAUAAGCACCGGCUAACUUCGUGCCAGCAGCCGCGGUAAUUC